CCAUCAAAUGAAUAAAAAGGCAAAAGCUUGACACACUGGAUCAAACUGGAGGAUGUGCACUGCAUAUUACAGAAUGAAUUGACUGAAUGGCAUAAAAACACACUGUCUCAAUACAUGUGACAAUGUUAAAUCAAUAUUCAAGUUUAAUUAUCAUUCAACCAUACAUGUAUAUAGCCAAAUGAAACAGUGUUCCUCUGGGGCCAAUGUGCAAAACACAUUACCAACAGCACAUUGCACAAAUAGCACAUAUGGUUAAGAUUUCAGAAAAACUUAGUCACAAAGAAAAAAAAUAACAUAGCCCAAGUCCCUGAGUGGCCCAGCUUGUUUUUCCACUGAGUGAACACCAGAGGGCAGUACUGACAGGAAGGGACAACCCCAACCCAAGUAUGGAUUCCAGUGUGACUCACACAGGCUCUCCCACACUGCCUCAUUGUCUCCUCUGUUGGUUGGCUGCAAUAGGCGACCCGCGGCCUAAUUCUUCGUCCUAAUGAUAUAGAGCACUACAGCACAGAAACAGACCCUUCAGCCCAUCCAGUGUGUGCCAAACUGUUAUUCUAUGUAUUCCCAUUGAGCCGCAGUUGGAUCAUUUCAAUGACAAGUUAUCUGGAUCCACCAUGGCCAGCUUGACGUAGGUAAGAAAAUUAUAUUAUAGUAAUUAUUUGUCAGCAAUUUUAGAAAUAAUCAUCAGUCACAUUAACCACAAAGGAAUAACCCCUUCCUUGCUCUUGACUGUGGCUGCACAAAAUUUCAAUUGGAAUGCACUGUCAGUGGCUCACUCGUCCAAAAGCAGCACAUGGCACGGCGAUGUGUUCACGUGUAUCAUGAGGGCAAGAGUUCCGAAUCUGCACUCGCCCACUUCAUUGCCCCAAGCACCAAGAGAGGUGGACAGGUAAGACGCGCCUGGUGCAGUGAGGAAUGAGAGCUGGUCAAAGCGACGAGUGGGGCUGAGAGAGCCGGGUGAGAGGCAGAGAGACUCCAGUGCACAUGAAGACGCACAUUGGAAGUGUUCUGUCAGUCUGGACAUCAUUGAGAAACUAGGCUUUUUGGCUGCACAGCUCUGGUCACCCAGCAGCCUGUGCUGAGGUGAAACGUGUCGUGUGUUUAGCUCCCGUCCUAAUUCUGGGACAGCAGGGAGCCUGAGGGAUACCUUGACCAUCCUCCGAGCCCCUCCGAGUGAACACAGACCAGUUCCGUGUUGCCCAGCUGAUUCAUGAACCCUGGAAUGAUUGUGACAGCCGGAAGACAGAGGCCUCCACCAACCAACAGGCAAGGAUCAACUUUGUCAUUUAGGAAUUUGUUGUGGCGUGUUGGCACAAUGUAAAAACAUUCAAUUAUAAAAAAGAAAGCAUUAUAUAAAAAUGUGCUGGAAGUUAAAGUACAGACAUGGAAUAACAUGCCUGAAUACCAGUGUGUAUUUACAACGUAAACAGCAUUAUAAAAUGAGGUUUAAAGUGUUUACAGUGCAGUGACUGACGUAACAGAUAAAGAGGGGUGGGGGCUAGCCAGAAUGGCUGAUCACAUUAACUGCUUGGGGAAAGACACUUGUAAGAUACUUUAUACUUUAUUGUCACCAAACAAUUGAUACUAGAAUGUACAAUCAUCACAGCGAUAUUUGAUUCUGCGCUUCCCGCUCCCUGGAUUACAAAUAUUAAAUAUAUUAAAAAUAGUAAAAAUUAGUAAAUAUAAAAAUUUAAAUUAUAAAUCAUAAAUAGAAAAUAGAAAAAUGGAAAGUAAGGUAGUACAAAAAAACUCAGAGGCAGGCCUGGAUAUUUGGAGGGUACGGCCUAGAUCCGGGUCAGGAUCCGUUCAGCAGUCUUAACACAGUUGGAAAGAAGCUGUUCCCAAAUCUGGCCGUACGAGUCUUCAAGCUUCUGAGCCUUCUCCCGGAGGGAAGGGGGAUGAAAAGUGUCUUGGCUGAGUGGGUCGUGUUCUUGAUUAUCCUGGCAGCACUGUUCCAACAGCGUGCGGUGAAAAGUGAGUCCAAGGACGGAAGAUUGGGGUUUGUGUGAUGUGCUGUGCCGUGUUCACGAUCUUCUGCAGCUUCUUUUGGUCUUGGACAGGACAAUUUCUAUACCGUGAAAUGAAGUGAAGAUGGCGUGAAGUGUUCGUUUUAAUCACCCUAUAGUGCUUUCUGGAAGGGAGCUUUGUAAAAGGCAGUUUGUUGGGUGAGUAAUGAUUUUUCCUGCCCACCUCUAUGUCCUGGACACAUACAAUUCCUCCCAGUGGUUGGGGUUACACCAAAGGCAGGUUCUAGAACUGAAGGCACAGCAAAGUAGCCAGGAUCUAAUCACUUUAAGUGUGGCGGUGACCUUGCGUUGUUGUUGCAAUGUACAAUGUUAAAGUUGCUUGACGUACAGAAGCAUCAAUCGCACAGCAGUGAAAGUUAAAGCCACUGCCUUGGCUCCAGGGAGUAUAUUAUAAUCAUGUCCCUUCCUACCAUGUGGCGAGGCAUGGUUCAGAUGCCAACUAUAAAUUUGUUGAUGACACAACUAUUAUUGGCAGAAUUUCAGAUGGUGACGGGGUGGUGUACAGGAGCAAGAUAGAUCAGCUGAUUGAGUGAUAUCACAACAACAACCUUGAGCUCAAUGUCAGUAAGACCAAGAAAUUGAUUGUGGACUUCAGGAAGGUGAAGUCGAGGGAACAUACACCAGUCCUCGGGGAUUUGCAGUGGAAAGGAGGAACAGUUUCAAGUUCCUGGGCAUCCAGAACUCGAGGGCACAGCCUCAAAAUUGAGGGGCGACCCUCUAGAACAGAGGUAUACCGCUGCACAGUUUUUAUAAGAAAAUCGGCUGGUUGGUUGCUUCAAGCAUCUUGGAGAACUUGCCACAGUUCUUCCGCAGACCUUGGCUGUCUGGCUUUCUUCUGUCUCUCCAGGCACGUAAAGAUCAGAGUAAUCUCAGUGAAGACAGGGGCUGUUUUCGGGCAGGGUCCCCCCUCUCCCUUGUGGCCGGAGCACCUCUCACAGACUGUCCCGCCCUGUGGGAUGGUUGCUAGCAGCACUGCUGACGGGGUGUUGGAAGACACGGCAGGAGGUGAUGGUGACGGACCAGUACAGGGCAGCCUGCUGCAGCUCAGUGGAGCGCCCCCUCCUGGGGGAGUGGUGCUUCCAACCACUUCAAACUCUUCACCUGUGUGUAUCGCCCUGCGAGGUGAGCCCAAUGUUGGAUGAGAGUCUAAACUGCAGUUUUGUUUAUACAGUCUACCUGUUUCUCUGUAAUUGGCAGUAAUAGUAUGACUGGUUCUGCACCAUGACAUGCCAGCGAACCUGACUGACUCACAUGUUGCCCAUUGUCAAUGGAAUUUCUCUUCACUGUCCAGUUUGGGCUAGUUUUUAAGUACAAGGUGACGGUAAUCUCUCUACUCUUUUGCCUUUUCUCUUUCUUGUCCUCCUUCACUUUCUCUUACUGACAAAUUACAGCCAGUUGGCACCUGUUACCUCUAGGUUAUGAACACCAAAUAAAAACAACUGUAACCACAAUACCUAUGCCUCAGUCUUCACUUCCAAAGAGCCUUCCGGAUCAUAUCAUCGCCAGAUCCGACACCAAUGCGUGGCUGAGAGUGGGUUGCAGAUCGGAGAGGAUGUUAGUUACCAUACAUCUAACUCCCACAGAGCCAAACAAAUCCAGCCAUUUGCAAUGGGUGUCUCAUGUUGGGUGUGAUCUGCAUAACUUUUCCACUUUUUGAACAAAAAACAAUGAUGGCACCCAUCAUUGAGGACCCCCAUCACCCAGGUCAUGCCUGGUUCUCAUUGCUACCAUCAGGAAGGAGAUACAGAAGCCAGAAGGCACACACUUAGUGAUUCAGGAAAGGCUUCUUCCUCUCUACCACCCGAUUUCUGAAUGGAUAUUGAACCCAUGAACACUACCUCAUUACCUUUUAUUUCUAUUUUUGCACUACUUAUUUAACUAUUUAAUAUAUAUACUUUGAGUCAUUCACAUUUUUUCCUAUUAUGUAUUGCAGGGGUCCCCAACCCUUUUUGCACUGCAGACUGG